CUCCAUUCAAGGAUGCUGAUUUGACAUCCAUGUGAUGGAUCUCCCAACCACUGUGUGCCGCCAGUGCGUUCAAGAUGCGCACCAUCUCCAUCCAUGCCACCGGUACAAAAACUUCAUCAAAGUCUACUCCCUGCACCUGUGCAUAACCUUUUGCAACCAAACGAGCUUUGUGCUUCACAAUAUUACCUUGCGGAUCCUUUUUCACCUUGAAGACCCACUUAAGGCCAAUUGCUCGCUGGACGGCAGGGAGGGAGGCUAGCUUCCAUGUUUUGUUGUCGGUGAUCGACUUCAUCUCGGCCUCCAUGGCGCAUUGAUAGUUCGCGUCGCCAAGAGCUUGCUCGAUGCUGGUCGGCUCCUUAGUUGCAAGCAUACACAGCCUUCUGAACUCGAGCUCCCUUGGCUUGUCGUGUCGAGGAGGUUCUCGACUGUGCGGUACCGGAGUGGUGCCCCAUCGAUGUCGUGCGUCCUACCAGUAGGUGGUGAUGCCCACUUGACACCACCCAUGGGGCCGGCGUGUGUGGCGAGGCUGGUUCUGCAUCUGGCUGUGCCUCGUGCACAGGGUCAUUGUCGAAGUAAUGGUUCACGAUGAACGUUCCGCUGGGCUCCACGUCGGUGACUCCACCAGUUGGCAUGGCGAGCCAGUCCCAGGCCCUUACUUCCUCUAACAUAGCAUCGUGAGUGAUGUGCAGCUUCCGCGCCACUGGAUCAUAUGCCCUAUAUGCCUUCAAUCCAUCUUCAUAGCUAACGAAUACCAUUGGCGUGGAUCGGUCGGACAACUUGUUGAUGCUGGGGCCCAAGUUUUUCACAUGGACGACACAACCAAAGGUCCUAAAGUAGGACACAUUCGGUCGCCGCCCAUGCCAAGCUUCAUAUGGCGUCCUUCCCUUCAGGCUUCAAGUCGACAAUUGGUUCAAAAUGUGAACAGUUGUCUUCACUAGUUCUACACAGAACAUGGUCAGAACACACAUGGUCUUCAGUAGGCUGCACGCCAUCUCGACCAAGGUCUGAUUCCUUCGCUUGAUGACACCAUUAUGUUGCGGCGAGUAGGGUGCGGUGGUGUAACUCCUGAUCCCUUGCUCAUCACGCCACGCCUUGAACUCGAGCGAGUUAAAUUCACUGCCACGGCCGGUCCUGAACGCACUCAGCUUGAUAUUUCACUCACUCUCGGCGAGUUCUUUGACCUUACGAAAGAGCUUGAAUGCCUCAUCCUUGGUGCGUAGCAUCUCCACCCACAUGAACCUACUGAAGUCAUCAACAAUCAGCAGAAAAUACCUGUUGCCACUCGGGGUCACUGUCGUAGUAGGGCUGUAGAGAUCUCUAUGUGCAAGAUCUAGUGCGCGCUCAGCCUGGUAUGGCGAUGCUUGUGGGAAGGGCGAUCGGUGCUGCUUAGCCAGUGCGCACCCGUCGCAAAACUACUCCACACGAUCAAUGUGGGGAAGGCCAUCUGCCAUCUUCUUAGCGGCAAGGUCGUGUAGAGCUCUGAAGUGAAGGUGCCUAAAACGGGCAUGCCAGCACCACACCGUGUCAUCCGCCUUAGCGAGGAGGCACACUGGCUCAGUAAUGUUGAGCUUGAGUGUGUAUGUCCGAUUAGUCGCACGCUUCACUCGCGCCAAGAGAAGACGAGCCGUGUCAAAGAUGGUGAGGAUGCCACUCUCAAUCUCCACCUUGCAGCCGUUCUCGUCCAGCUGCCCUAGGCUGACGAUGUUGCUGCGCAAAUGAGGAAUGUAAUAUACCUCCGUGAGCACACGUUGUGACUUGUUCUUGCACUCAAACAUUGCAAUCUUCGAGUACUUCUCCAGGAUGGCCUAUAGGAACUUGCUCACCACCAUGUCGUCGCCGUGCGGGUCACCAAGGAGGGUGAGUUUGGCUGGCAAGCCUGGUGAUGCAAAUCAUGAACUCGUCCACCGUCUCGCCGUCGUGAAACUCGAGCGAGUCAAACUCGCGCCGUAGAUUCUUGGCCUUGGCCUUCCAUACACGAUCAACGCCGACGUGAAUCGUGCAGAUCGAGUCCCAAGUAGCUUUGGCGGUGGGAUUAGUGGCGACGGAGCCCAACAUCUCUGACGGCACCGCCUUGCAUAUUGCCCCCAACGCUACGCGAUCAACCUGGAAAUCUACUCGGCCGGUGGUCACAGCUACCCAGAGGCAUCUGGCCUUAAUCAUUACCUUCAUAAGUGCAGCCCAGUCACCGUAGUUGGAGCGCGUCAAGAUCGGCCAGUUCGCCGAUCCGCUGCUCUCGUAAAUGAUCGUCGUCUCGUCGCCACAUGUCUGCUGGCGUCAUGGUGGUGGUGACAUAGAGCGCCGGCGUCCGCUCACCGGGGCCGACAUGAGUGACGAGGAUCUGCCCGCCUAGCUCUGAUGCCAAAUAUCGUUGCCAACUCUAACUAAGGGAUACACGCGAUCGCCUGGAUGCAGAAAUGGCAGAUCGAACACAACAGAACGUGAGAGAGGUUUUUGCCACUCGUCACCGUAGCAUUUUCUCAUGCAUGUAUUUAUACUCGAAGCAAACAUGCAGAUACAAGGGCUGUUGCCCGGUUCCUACGUCACGAAGCGAUCGACUCGCGCCAUCCAACAUUCAUGCAUGGUGGCGAGCUAAUUCUAGCCUCGUUGUGGACUCAGCAUGGCUCAGGCCAUAUGCAAAAGAAGUAGCUAGAAGAAAAAACAAGUUAACUACCUAAGUGACAUGAUUAUUUUCCAACACAGCUCACCUUCCUUUUCCCUGCGACGGCACCUACAUAUUCGUUGAGGUUAGAGUUUUCUUUUCUUCUGUGAUGUGUGUGGGAGGAAGCGGCAGCAGUGGUAGGAUGACCUGGGUUUAACGAAGAAGGUGGUACGAACACAGAUCUGGUAGCUCCCCGCCCGGAGUUGGGGUUGAGGCACCGGACGGCUGGGGAAGUGGUUGCUAAUCGUUCUUGCUGGUGCCUGGGGUGACGCUAACGAAGGAAGAAAAGAGACAUGAAGUAUAAUUUCACAUCCACUUGCAUAUAUAUGUCUAAUUUUGUUUGUCUAUUUCUCCUACAUGAUAUUCAUUUAUCUGUUGAUUUCUUUCCAUAUCUCAUAAUAUUUUACAUACCUUUACAGUAUGAAUCUCAACACAGAUGAGCGAUUAUAAUAAGUCGCAUAUUAACAUGUGAAAUUUUCCCUCCGAGAUAAGGCAUAUUGGAUGAGUGGAUCACAAGCAUGUUGCAGGUGGAUCACGAACAUGUUCCGAGAGAGCAUCUACAAGAAAAUUCUUAACUUCCCACAAAGAGGUCGCAUGUAGAUGAUCCAGCAUAAAUAGCCAACAUCAUGCAAGGGUCAUCACCUCAUCGUCACCAUGGUUGUUGAGAACACGUUCAAAUAAAAAGCUGAACCGUCUACAAUGUAGCCCAGAGCAUUGUACUAAUGGUCCAAGCGAGUGAAGGCGACGCCAAUCUACCGGAGUUCUGUGAGUGUUGCGCUGGCAAUAUCAGGCAACCAUUAAAGCAGCAAGGCAAGAAUGUUUUACCCAUGAGGAGGAGCUCAUGUUUGCCUACUUCAUGUCUGCUGAUGUAGAUGGCGGGUAUGAGUAGUGUAAACUACUCGUGUGGCGUGGUUUUAGGUGGAGCCUAAGGGUAUAUGGCAUCAUCUAUCUUUUGGUGUUGAUAGGUGGUAAUGUGUUAUGUACCAUCCUAGCUCCGUUGAGAUGUAAAUUGUUAUAAAUGGUUAAAGACUUAAGAAAUUGUAACAUAAUUUA